ACAAACACUAUGAUUAGGAAUAGUAGAAGAUUGUUCAUGAUGAGCAGAGAGCUGCGGGUUGGUGGAACGCAGUCACAUGACACUUUGAACUCGCCUGGGAGUGGUUGAGCCGAAAUACGAUAUGUUUAUCUAGGUUCUAACGAUUAACCUGCGUUAAAAGGUUUCGCAAGAUAUACUUUGCGCUAAGCUGGACUCAAUAAUAAAAGGAGUCAAUAAGAGUGGUACCGCGGUUGGCCUAAGCCUAUCGUCUCUUUU
rnacentral:ncRNA from 1 species